rnacentral:rRNA from 1 species
AGAGUUUGAUCCUGGCUCAGGACGAACCCUGGCGGUGUGCUUCACACAUGCAAGUCGAACGAGGUAGCAAUACCUAGUGGCCGACGGGUGAGUAACGCGUGGGAAUCUGCCUUAAGAUGGGGGAUAACGAGCCGAAAGGCUCGCUAAUACCGCAUAUGCCGAAAGGUGAAAGGAGUAAUCCGUCUUGAGAUGAGCCCGCGUCCGAUUAGCUAGUUGGUAGGGUAAAGGCCUACCAAGGCGACGAUCGGUAGCUGGUCUGAGAGGAUGAUCAGCCACAAUGGGACUGAGACACGGCCCAUACUCCUACGGGAGGCAGCAGUGGGGAAUUUUACGCAAUGGGGGAAACCCUGACGUAGCGACACCGCGUGAGCGAAGAAGCCCCUUGGGGUGUAAAGCUCUGUCAGCUGGAACGAAAAAAAUGACGGUACCAGCAGAGGAAGCAUCGGCUAACUACGUGCCAGCAGCCGCGGUAAGACGUAGGAUGCGAGCGUUGUCCGGAUUUAUUGGGCGUAAAGAGUUCGUAGGUGGUUUGUCAAGUCUGAUGUUAAAGAUCGGGGCUCAACCCUGGGACUGCAUUGGAUACUGGCAGACUUGAGUGUGGUAGAGGCUAGUGGAAUUCCCAGUGUAGCGGUGAAAUGCGUAGAUAUUGGGAAGAACACCGGUGGCGUAGGCGACUAGCUGGGCCAUAACUGACACUGAGGAACGAAAGCCAGGGUAGCGAAUGGGAUUAGAUACCCCAGUAGUCCUGGCCGUAAACGAUGGAUACUAGGCGUAUCAGAUAUCGACGCCUGAUGUGCCGCAGCUAACGCGAUAAGUAUCCCGCCUGAGUAGUACGGCCGCAAGGUUGAAACUCAAAGGAAUUGACGG